rnacentral:rRNA from 1 species
AGCGAACGCUGGCGGCAGGCCUAACACAUGCAAGUCGAACGAAGUCUUCGGACUUAGUGGCGGACGGGUGAGUAACACGUGGGAACGUGCCCUUUGGUACGGAAUAACUCAGGGAAACUUGAGCUAAUACCGUAUGUGCCCUUAGGGGGAAAGAUUUAUCGCCAUUGGAGCGGCCCGCGUCUGAUUAGCUAGUUGGUGAGGUAAAGGCUCACCAAGGCGACGAUCAGUAGCUGGUCUGAGAGGAUGAUCAGCCACAUUGGGACUGAGACACGGCCCAAACUCCUACGGGAGGAAGCAGUGGGGAAUCUUGCGCAAUGGGCGAAAGCCUGACGCAGCCAUGCCGCGUGAAUGAUGAAGGUCUUAGGAUUGUAAAAUUCUUUCACCGGGGACGAUAAUGACGGUACCCGGACAAGAAGCCCCGGCUAACUUCGUGCCAGCCGCCGCAGUAAGAC